rnacentral:lncRNA from 1 species
CGAACCAACCCGGUUCAACCAGGUCUUGGCGACGGGCAUGAACGACGUGGUCACCGAGGCUGCCAACGACGCCGACAAGUUUGCGACGAGUCAGGGGAAUGUUAGUGGGUUGGUUUCGAUUUACAGCCUGGGGCAGUGCACGCAGGACCUGUCCUCAGCGGAUUGCAACCGGUGUCUCACGGGUGCCAAAGCCCAAUUUCCGAAUUGUUGCAAUGGAAAGCUCGGGGCACGAGUUUUGUAUCCGAGUUGUACCGUUAGGUACGAAGUCUACCCCUUCUACCUCCAAAACUCCACGUCAGCGCCUCAGCCUUCACCGGGGGCUCUGCCUCCUCCUCCUCCUCCGCCGCCGCCUAAAGGUAAAGUGAAGUGACCAGCUUUUCAAUUCAAAUUAUGUCUUUAAAUUGUUGGGGGGAGUAGGUAUCUAUGCUAACUAUGGUGGACUUUGGAUUGGAACAGGGGAAUAUGGUUUUGGGAUUUGGCUGUUCAUUUUACUACUUUCUUCAUAUUUAGUUUUAUCAGUGUAGAUUUUUAUUGUUUAUUAUGCAGGAAAAAGCAAAAUCCCUACAAUUGUUGCCAUUGUUGUCCCAAUUGCCGUCUCUGUUCUACUUUUUGUUGUGGGCUGCUGUUUCAUUACUAGGAGAGCAAGAAAGAAGCGCAGUGCAGCAGCAGAGGCACCAAGCGGUAAAGAAUAUAUAUCUGAAAUGAAUUCUAGUUUGUCAUACAAAUCAAAAGCAUACUUUUGUUUCCUCAUCUUUAUACAUGAAUGCUUUUCUUGUUUGUUUGUGUAGGUGUGAAUGACAUUAGUAGUGUAGAGUCUUUGCAAUUUGAUUUUAGUACCAUUGUAGCGGCCACGAACAAUUUCUCUGAUGAUAAUAAGUUAGGGGAAGGUGGAUUUGGUCAAGUUUACAAGGUAUGUAUGUAUAUCAACGUUUCUGCAUUGGAAAAUCUCAAUUCUUAAUAUUUUGAGAAACUAAGGAGGUUUUAAUCAAUACUGGGAAUUGUAAAAGUUGUGCAAGAAUGUACAUUCCAUCGAUUCAUUGGUUGAAGGUUGUUCUCAGGGUAUACUUUCAAAUGGUCAACAAGUAGCUGUGAAGAGGCUUUCAAGGAACUCUGGCCAAGGUGCUGAGGAAUUUAAGAACGAGAUGGUAUUGGUAGCCAAGCUUCAACACAGAAAUCUGGUCAGGCUAUAUGGAUUUUGCUUGGAAGGAGAAGAAAAGAUACUUGUUUAUGAAUAUGUCUCCAACAAAAGCCUUGACUAUUUUCUAUUUGGUUUGUGCCCUGAAACAUCUGAUAGUCUUUUCUACUGCAAAAACAUUUCUACUGCAAAAACAAUGUUACUUCAACAUGUAUUUGAAUCUGUUUCCUUGAUUGCUCAAUUUUGAUGAUUUUCAGACCCUGAGAAACAAGGACAAUUGGAUUGGUCAAGACGUUACAAGAUUAUUGCAGGGAUUGCUCGAGGAAUAAUGUACCUACACGAAGAUUCCCGACUUAGAAUUAUACAUCGUGAUCUCAAGGCCAGCAAUAUAUUGUUAGAUGGGGAGAUGCAUCCAAAAAUAUCUGAUUUUGGCAUGGCCAGGAUUUUUGGGGUUGAUCAAACUCAAGCAAAUACAAGUAGAAUUGUUGGAACAUAGUAAGUUCUCUAAUUCAUCUUUUCUUUUCUCAUGAGCACUUUUGUUCUGCAUUAUCUGGAUUGAUGAAUUUGAGAAAUGGUCCCAUCUGCACUCAACAGAAAGUCCACUUUGACCCUUGAUAAUAUCUGUAUGAACUCAGACAGGGAUGAUGUAAUUUUUGAAUCAUACUUCAUGCUCUAUAAAUAAUGAAAGCCACUUAGUCUUACACGAAAUUGAAUGGGUUAAAUUAUUGACCUGAAUAUGAUAAGUUUACUCCUUAAAUUUUGCUACAAUUUCUAUACCGAUGGAUGGUUGUGCUUCUUGCAGUGGCUAUAUGUCUCCAGAGUAUGCAAUGCAUGGACAAUUUUCUGUCAAGUCCGAUCUAUAUAGUUUCGGUGUUUUACUGCUAGAAAUCAUAAGUGGCAAGAAGAAUAGUUAUUUCUUUCAAACUGAUGCAGCUGAAGACCUCAUGAGCCAUGUAAGCUUAAACUGAAAACAAUGUAGUUUUGUUCUUCUGCACUAACACCACCACAACAUAAAUAAAACUGUUCAAUUUAUGCAGGCUUGGAAACUAUGGAGAGAUGGGACGCCUUUGGAAUUGUUGGAUCCGAGUAUGAGAGAUUCUUAUUCUAGGAGUGAAGUUAUAAGGUGUAUCCAUAUCGGCUUACUUUGUGUUCAGGAAGAUCCAGCGGACAGACCUACAAUGCAAUCCGUAGUUCUCAUGCUUAAUAGCUACUCUGUGACUCUGCCAUUACCUGAACAGCCAGCAUUUUUCCUUCGAAGUCGAACGGAGGGGAACAUGCCAAAGAUAACUUUGGAGUCUGAUCUAUCUAUCAGUAAGUCAACUCCAUCCGUUGAUGAAGCAUCUAUCACUGCAGUAUACCCUCGAUAGCGUGAAUGAACAAGAUGUUAUAUCUGUAUUAUCUGUUUAUAUUUGUAAUCACAAAUGUGAAACUUGUACUCUUGGUUCCAUACGACUGUUGUUAGGAUUGAAAACAUCAAAUGGUAUUUCUGUCUUGUGAGUUUCAAUAUCAUUGAUUUCGAUUUGUGAGCAUAGAUUUAUCAUCCACAUAACGUGAUUGACAAGGUUUUAAGUAUUCACAUCUGUAUCUUGGAAAAGAUCUCUUCUUUGUGGGUCUGGGUUGAAUCUUCUGCAGUUUCGCGAAGUCAAUACUUAAUAAAUUUACAGCCGUCGUAAUUAGGUAGUUGUGGUCACAUCACUGUCUUGGAUUGAUGAGUAGAGUUAUGGAUACCAUCUUCUUUUCUGGUUAUCUUCGUAUCCACAUAGGAGAUAAUGCGCAAAACGUACAAUUUGUGGAGCAUACUAAAUAACGAUGGCCGCCAUCGCAAGGAAGACAUGAGGUGGUGGCAAGAAAUGGAGAGGAACGUACUUCCCUAUUCCUGUUUCAUUCUCCCUCUCUCCGCUUGUCACCUAUAAGAGGAGGGGAGAGAGAGAGGAAGACAAUUGGAGGAAUUGUUCAAGGAAUUUUAUCUCCAUGAAGAUUCAAGGCUUAGAGUUAAACAUCGUGAUUUGAAAGUUAGCAAUAUCCUAUUAGAUGACAAUAUAAAUCCAAAAAUAUCAGACUUUGUAAUGGCAAAAAUGUUAGGAGUUGAUGAUCAAAUUUGCGGAAACACAAGAAGAGUUGUCGGCACUUAGUAUGUUUCAACUUAUAUACCCCGUACCAAACUACUAAUCUCAAUUUUAUUUUGGUUUAUUUGUUCUUUCUUUAUAAUUAUGUGAUAUGAUGCACUCUAUAUGCAAAAUGUAUUAACUUUUGAUAUGCAAGUAGCUAUAUGGCACCAGAAUAUGCUAUGGAGGGAUUGCAUUCCACAAAAUCUUAUGUCUUUAGCUUCCGCGUACUCUUGCUUGAGAUCCUAAUAGGGAGAAGAAAUUUUUUGGGGUUUCAUGACUGUGCACCUACUCUUGUAGCAUAUGCAAGUGUUCAAUUAGUUGGGUUGGGUUAUAAAAUUAAUUGCACAACAUAUGUAAGUGUUCAAAUAUAGACAUCGAUCCUUAAGGUAUUAACUCCGAGAUUAAUUGCAGGCUUGGCUGUUGUGGAACGAAGGGAAAGGGUUGGAGUUAAUGGAUCCAUUGUUGAAAGAAACAUGCAGUCCAAAUGAGUCGAUGGGUCCCUAAGACAAGAAAAGUAGGCCCAAUACAUACAGAACAACAAAAUAAGACCCAGAAGAGGACGACAACAACAACAACAAAAAAAACCAGCAACAAAAUCACGGAAUUAUGGCCUCUUUAUAUUGUUUUCUUUGUUUUCAGAAUCGAUCGAGAUACAUGAAUAAUUGUUCUUAAUCAUUUGAAUUAUAAGUCGUUUAUUAUUAUAUUGUUUGAUAAAUUAAGUCCAUCAAUGUGAUGCGUUCUUUUGGGACCUUCCGAUGAACUGGGUGGAGAAAUAAAUAAUCCCUUUGGGCACUUCCGUCUCCAUCGUCUUAAGUUUGAAAAUAUUUUUAUUUUAUAUAGUUUUUUUUUGUCAUUUCGUCUCCUUCCUUUUCUUCAACGAAUUUGAGUAAGAUGGUUUCAUGGCGGCAGACAGGUGAAGUGAUAUAUGCCCGUCAACACACGGAAACAUUAAAACCAGUUUCACUUUAGAGUCCUGCCGUGACUUUUCUUUUGUGAAUUUAUUCAUGAAACCCAUUUCGAUUUGGUAAAACUUUCUUCUUGUAAUAUUCUUGCGAAUAAUAAUAAUAAUAAUCAAUAUCAAUAUGAUAAUGAUAAGGGAUAUUUAGUUAAAUACCUAUUCUUAGUAUUAAAACUAUAAAUAAAUUCUAUACUAUUUAAUUUUUAUUUUUAUAAACAAACUCAAAAAAUGACAAUUGGCCUUAUUGAAUUUAAUUUUAAUUAUUAAAUUACUUUAGUGUCAUAUUGAGUGUUUUGGACUUUUUUUAUGAGAUUUUAGAGUUGGAUUCGUUUUAAAAAAUCAAUGGCAAUUUUGUAAUUUAAAAGUAGUUAAAAGCUUUUCUAUGAUAUUGCAAAUGGACUUUGAUGUAUUUUUAAAAUCAAUUUCAUAUGAGAUUUUUUUAAUAAUUUGACUCCUAUAUUAGGUAAAACAGUGAAUCUCCCUCAAAAAACCGCCACUGCCCUCUCUCUCUUUCCCACUCCCGCCUGCCAUUUUCCUCUGUUUCAAACUUUUGUUUUUUUUGUCUUUUAUUUCAUUGUCUCUUCUUCCUCUUCUUUUUCUAUGAAUCUGAUGAUAAAGACAACCACCACUGAGAUAAUAUAUCUUCCAAAGUUCAACUUGGCUUGAGAAAUAGAGACAGGGAGGGACUAGCUAGCUUAAUUAGCGAAGCAUAGGGGAUGUCCUGGGCUGGUUUCAUCAAGAUCAAAAUGCUUCCCAUGACUAAUCUCAUGCUCGUUUCCAUUCUCUCCUCCAUAUUUGUUGUUACUCUGCUUAGCUUUCCCAGCCCAGCUGAAGCUGAUUAUCUAUACCAUGUCUGCCCAAACACUACCACUUUCACCCCGAACUCCACCUUCCAGUCCAACCUCAACCGCCUCCUCUCCACCCUCUCCUCCAACGCCACCCGCCCCUCCGGCUUCUACAACGCCACCGCCUCCUCCCGAACCCCAAACGACGCCGUCUACGGCCUCUUCCUCUGCCGCGGCGACGUCGCUGCCACCGACGCUUGCAAAUCCUGCGUCUCCACCGCAACCUCCGACAUCGUCCAGCGCUGCCCCACCGAGAAACAGGUCGUGAUCUGGUACGACGACUGCAUGCUACGCUACUCCAACGAGUCCUUCUUUUCCACCAUGGCCGAGACACCUCGCCUGUUCAUGUGGAACACCCAGAACGCCACCGAACAGACCCGCUUCAACCAGGUCCUGUCCACCGGUAUGAACGAGGUGGCCACCGAGGCUGCCAACGACGCCGACAAGUUUGCGACGAGUCAGGGGAAUGUUAGUGGGUUGGUUUCGAUUUACAGCCUGGGGCAGUGCACGCAGGACCUGUCCUCAGCGGAUUGCAACCGGUGUCUCAAGGGUGCCAUAGCCCAAUUUCCGAAUUGUUGCAGUGGAAAGGAAGGGGCACGAGUGUUGUAUCCGAGCUGUACCGUUAGGUACGAAGUCUACCCUUUCUACCAACAGAACUCCACGUC